UGAACGCUGGCGGCAUGCCUUACACAUGCACGUCGAACGGCAGCACGGGUGCUUGCACCUGGUGGCGAGUGGCGAACGGGUGAGUAAUACAUCGGAACAUGUCCUGUAGUGGGGGAUAGCCCGGCGAAAGCCGGAUUAAUACCGCAUACGAUCUACGGAUGAAAGCGGGGGACCUUCGGGCCUCGCGCUAUCGGGUUGGCCGAUGGCUGAUUAGCUAGUUGGUGGGGUAAAGGCCUACCAAGGCGACGAUCAGUAGCUGGUCUGAGAGGACGACCAGCCACACUGGGACUGAGACACGGCCCAGACUCCUACGGGAGGCAGCAGUGGGGAAUUUUGGACAAUGGGCGAAAGCCUGAUCCAGCAAUGCCGCGUGUGUGAAGAAGGCCUUCGGGUUGUAAAGCACUUUUGUCCGGAAAGAAAUCCUUGGCCCUAAUACGGUCGGGGGAUGACGGUACCGGAAGAAUAAGCACCGGCUAACUACGUG
rnacentral:rRNA from 1 species